CAGCAGGUUAAGAAAGUAAUUUUUACAUAGUACUGAUCCAUAAUUAUAUGUCUGCAAUUUUAAAACCUAAGAAGAUACUGAAGGAUGAAAAGAUUUGUGCGGUUUGGGGGCUUGGGAAGGGAUGAGAGUUAGCAGGGAAGUGUGGUAGCAAAAUCAUCUUGCAAAUUAGAGAUAUAAUGUGAAGUAAUACGUGGCUGAUAUGGUUUGGCUAUGUCCCAACCCAAAUCUCAUCUUGAAAUAUCAUCUUGUGAUAGUGAGCAAGUUCUCAUGAGAUCUAUGGUUUUAUAAACAUCAGGCAUUUCCCCUGCUAGCACUCAUUCUCUCUCCUGCCACCCUGUGAAGAGGUGCCUUCCAUCAUGAUUGUAAGUUUCCUUAGGACUCCCCAGCCGUGCGGAACUGUUCCAUCAAAGUGAUAAACUUCAACCCCUCCAGGCCCCGGGAAUGGCUGGGUAUAAUACUGCAAAUGAGACAUAGGAAGUAUACAGGAAGUUCUCUUCAAACUUCGGACUCCGAGCAGUGGCUGGGCUUCCAGAGUCAAGCUCUAGCAGAGCACUCCCCACCAACAAUCUCUAGAGACAGAAUCUCACUCUAUUGCUCCGGUUGAAGUGCAGUGGCUGCUUACAGGGGCGAUCACGGUGCACUGCAGCCUCGAAGUCAUGGCCUCAAUCAGUCCCCCUGCCUCCACUCAAGGAUCUGCCUUAAAAAUCGCCUAUUAAAAAUCUAAUCAUUCAGAGUCGAAAGUCACCUCUGCUCUGACUCAUUUUUCGCACCAUAUAUGCCUGUGUCUCAUAAGUUUUUUUUUUCUAAUUUCAAAUAUGCUUUCAAAUUCUGUUGCAUUUCUAUAUCCACUGCUACUGUUCCACUAAACAUUUAACACUU
rnacentral:lncRNA from 1 species